rnacentral:tRNA from 1 species
UCUCUGGUGGUCCAGUGGCUAAGACUCUGCAUUCCCAGUGCAGGGGGCCCAGGUUUGAUUCCUGGCCAAGGAA